GCGGUUUCGUAAGACAGACGUGAAAUCCCCGGGCUCAACCUGGGAACUGCGUUUGUGACUGCGAGGCUAGAGUUUGGCAGAGGGGGGUGGAAUUCCACGUGUAGCAGUGAAAUGCGUAGAGAUGUGGAGGAACACCGAUGGCGAAGGCAGCCCCCUGGGCCAAUACUGACGCUCAUGCACGAAAGCGUGUGGAGCAAACAGGAUUAGAUACCCUGGUAGUCCACGCCCUAAACGAUGUCAACUAGGUGUUGGGAGGGUUAAACCUCUUAGUGCCGUAGCUAACGCGUGAAGUUGACCGCCUGGGGAGUACGGCCGCAAGGCUAAAACUCAAAGGAAUUGACGGGGACCCGCACAAGCGGUGGAUGAUGUGGAUUAAUUCGAUGCAACGCGAAAAACCUUACCUACCCUUGACAUGUCAGGAAUCCCGGAGAGAUUUGGGAGUGCCCGAAAGGGAGCCUGAACACAGGUGCUGCAUGGCUGUCGUCAGCUCGUGUCGUGAGAUGUUGGGUUAAGUCCCGCAACGAGCGCAACCCUUGUCGUUAAUUGCCAUCAUUCAGUUGGGCACUUUAAUGAGACUGCCGGUGACAAACCGGAGGAAGGUGGGGAUGACGUCAAGUCCUCAUGGCCCUUAUGGGUAGGGCUUCACACGUCAUACAAUGGUCGGUCCAGAGGGUUGCCAACCCGCGAGGGGGAGCUAAUCUCAGAAAGCCGAUCGUAGUCCGGAUUGCAGUCUGCAACUCGACUGCAUGAAGUCGGAAUCGCUAGUAACCGCGGAUCAGCAUGUCGCGGUGAAUACGUUCCCGGGUCUUGCACUCACCGCCCGUC
rnacentral:rRNA from 1 species